rnacentral:lncRNA from 1 species
GGCGUAUUCAUUUGGAUUUUUUUUUCAAGACAGGCAAAUAAAAGAUGUUUGAAAUCUCUAGUUAUCCCGUUUAACACACCCAUCGAUGGCGCUUUUCUAGUUAAGCUACGGGGGAAACGUCUUUAUCCCACAGUUAGGCUGCGAACUUGUGCCGAUGCUCAGGCUUUGUGGAGACGCUCCGGCAUCUGGCGCAGAGGCGCCCGGCGGGGAAAAGUUUGCAGCCCGGGCUUUGGGGCGCGCGGGGGGCAGGAAUUUUUCUGAGAAAAGAGGGGCAUAGAGAGGCGGCGAGGGUGGGGAGAGAAAAAAGGAACGCAGCGGGGAGGGGGAAAAGCAGCUUGCAGGAUGGGAGUUUCUUGCAGAAUUUACAGGACUAAGGAGUUUGGGGAAGUCGCAGAGCCGCAGCGGAAAGGCAGGGGUCUGAGACUACUUUUGAGAAGAGAAACAACGCAAAACGAUCGCUGGAGGGCCAGAGCCCUGAUCGAAGAAGCAGACACAGGUUCCCACGGCGUCUGACGCCUGCGGAGCAAGUCCAGAGCCAGCUGGACUCGCAGCCUCUGGCCCGGCGGCACCAACUCCAUACUGGGUCAUUUUGAGCGCGCUGUGCCCACCUUUUCUGUUGCGUGUGGACGUGGGGAGGAUCUUCUAAGUCCCUCCAACGAAGGCAAGUGUGAGACUCUGGCCCUUUAUUUGUAAGAAGCAAGCCUUCAGAUUGCAGAAGUGUCGCGCGGGUCGCCAUGCGUUGCGCGAGUGGGAAGAUGGAGGAGGCCGGCACGCUGCUUUCGUGGACGCAAGUGAACCGGCCGUGAAGGCAGGGUGCGAGCUCUGCCCUUGGCCCAGCCCUGCGUGGGCGCCGUCCCAGAUUCCGGGCGGUGCGGGGUGCAGAGAUCUGGAGAGAGUUGCGGGGUGCAGAGAUCUGGAGAGACUUGCGGGCUCCCCAGCGCAGGCUGCUCUGGGAUUUCGUUGGAAGAUCCGGCAGAGCCUUGGAGGAGAGGGCCCGGGAGGCUGUGUGUGCAGCGGAAACUUGUACGAAUGCCCCCACAGCGGAAAUGGUGCGCACGAGUAAUUUCUGCGGUGCACCCUUUUAAAAAUUGACAAGUGAACAAGAUCAAUUUUUUAAGAAAGCAAAGGUAGAAAACAAAAGGCGUGCGACUUCUUGACUGGCUUGUUCCCGCCUUUCUUCCUUCUCUAUACUCAGAUCAGAAACUUUAAUUGCUCUUAUUCAGUGCGACAACUUUUAAUAAAAGCAUUUGCAUUUUAAGCCUGAGUUGCAACCAUAGAUUUGUUGCGAAGUGACAACGUGUCUAUGGAAUAUUUUCGCAGAUGAGACAGGACAUGCGCUCUAGUCGUGCCCAGAUUAAAGGGACGCUGGUCCAUGUGCCUGUGUAGUGCAGACUCGGAGGGGCACACACAUACUCGUCAUCACAUGACCACUGUCUAUUAAUAUUGUCAUACCUAAACACUCGCAAAAACAAAAGUUGCUUUUC